AUGGGUAGGCUUCGGCCACAACCCCUCACCAUUGUGAACGAAGCUUUAGUAGCAGUUGCUUCGGCGGGUGGUAAUACCAGACCCCUUCUGGGGUACCCGCCGGAGGCAAGCAAACUCUUGUCAUUUAUUGUUAUCUCUGAUUAAACUUUUAAUAAGUCA
rnacentral:misc_RNA from 1 species